rnacentral:rRNA from 1 species
GGCCUACCAAGGCGACGAUCAGUAGCCGGCCUGAGAGGGUGAACGGCCACACUGGAACUGAGACACGGUCCAGACUCCUACGGGAGGCAGCAGUGGGGAAUCUUCCGCAAUGGGCGAAAGCCUGACGGAGCAAUGCCGCGUGAGUGACGAAGGCCUUCGGGUUGUAAAACUCUGUCUUUGGGGACGAAAAAAAUGACGGUACCCAAGGAGGAAGCCACGGCUAACUACGUGCCAGCAGCCGCGGUAAUACGUAGGUGGCAAGCGUUGUUCGGAAUGACUGGGCGUAAAGGGCGUGUAGGUGGACUGAUCAGUCGGGUGUGAAAUAUCCAGGCUCAACCUGGAGGGUGCAUCCGAUACGGUCAGUCUUGAGUGCAGGAGAGGGCAGUGGAAUUCCCAGUGUAGCGGUGAAAUGCGUAGAUAUUGGGAGGAACACCAGUGGCGAAGGCGGCUGCCUGGACUGUAACUGACACUGAGGCGCGAAAGCGUGGGGAGCAAACAGGAUUAGAUACCCUGGUAGUCCACGCCGUAAACGAUGGGUACUAGGUGUAGGAGGUAUCGACCCCUUCUGUGCCGGAGUUAACACAAUAAGUACCCCGCCUGGGGAGUACGGCCGCAAGGUUGAAACUCAAAGGAAUUGACGGGGGCCCGCACAAGCGGUGGAGCAUGUGGUUUAAUUCGACGCAACGCAAGAACCUUACCAGGUCUUGACAUCUUCUUGCCCGAUGCAGAGAUGCAUAAUUCCCUUUCGGGGACAGAGACAGGUGGUGCAUGUUGUCGUCAGCUCGUGUCGGGGAUUGUGGUUA